rnacentral:rRNA from 1 species
CCCUUAGAUGUUCUGGGCCGCACGCGCGCUACACUGAUGCAUUCAACGAGUUUCUUCCUGGUCCGAGAGGAAUGGGUAACCUUUUGAAAGUGCAUCGUGAUAGGGAUACACUAUUGCAAUUAUUGGUCUUCAACGAGGAAUUCCUAGUAGACGUAGUUCAUCAGACUGCAUCGAUUACGUCCCUGCCCUUUGUACACACCGCCCGUCGCUCCUACCGAUUGAAUGCUCAGGUGAGCCAUUCGGACUUUCAUCAUGCUGGUUUCCAGUUUUGAUGAAGGAAAGUCUUGCGAACCUUAUCAUUUAGAGGAAGGAGAAGUCGUAACA